GACGAACGCUGGCGGCGUGCCUAAUACAUGCAAGUAGAACGCUGAAGGAGGAGCUUGCUUCUCUGGAUGAGUUGCGAACGGGUGAGUAACGCGUAGGUAACCUGCCUGGUAGCGGGGGAUAACUAUUGGAAACGAUAGCUAAUACCGCAUAAGAGUAGAUGUUGCAUGACAUUUGCUUAAAAGGUGCAAUUGCAUCACCACCAGAUGGACCUGCGUUGUAUUAGCUAGUUGGUGAGGUAACGGCUCACCAAGGCGACGAUACAUAGCCGACCUGAGAGGGUGAUCGGCCACACUGGGACUGAGACACGGCCCAGACUCCUACGGGAGGCAGCAGUAGGGAAUCUUCGGCAAUGGACGGAAGUCUGACCGAGCAACGCCGCGUGAGUGAAGAAGGUUUUCGGAUCGUAAAGCUCUGUUGUAAGAGAAGAACGAGUGUGAGAGUGGAAAGUUCACACUGUGACGGUAUCUUACCAGAAAGGGACGGCUAACUACGUGCCAGCAGCCGCGGUAAUACGUAGGUCCCGAGCGUUGUCCGGAUUUAUUGGGCGUAAAGCGAGCGCAGGCGGUUAGAUAAGUCUGAAGUUAAAGGCUGUGGCUUAACCAUAGUACGCUUUGGAAACUGUUUAACUUGAGUGCAAGAGGGGAGAGUGGAAUUCCAUGUGUAGCGGUGAAAUGCGUAGAUAUAUGGAGGAACACCGGUGGCGAAAGCGGCUCUCUGGCUUGUAACUGACGCUGAGGCUCGAAAGCGUGGGGAGCAAACAGG
rnacentral:rRNA from 1 species